rnacentral:rRNA from 1 species
AUGGCCAUACCACAUUGAAAACACGGAUUCUCGUUCGAUCACCCAAGUUAAGCAACGUCGGGCACGGUCAGUACUUGGUAGGGCGACCACCUGGGAACACCAGGAGCUGUAGGCU